rnacentral:rRNA from 1 species
GGAAAGGGCCUUUGGGGUACUCGAGCGGCGAACGGGUGAGUAACACGUGAGUAAUCUGCCCCAUGCUUCGGGAUAGCCAGCCGAAAGGCUGAUUAAUACCGGAUAUGACACUCUCCUGCAUGGGAUGGGUGUGGAAAGUUUUUUCGGCGUGGGAUGUGCUCGCGGCCUAUCAGCUUGUUGGUGGGGUAAUGGCCUACCAAGGCUUCGACGGGUAGCCGGCCUGAGAGGGUGACCGGCCACACUGGGACUGAGACACGGCCCAGACUCCUACGGGAGGCAGCAGUGGGGAAUAUUGGACAAUGGGCGGAAGCCUGAUCCAGCAACGCCGCGUGAGGGAUGACGGCCUUCGGGUUGUAAACCUCUUUCAGCACAGACGAAGCGAGAGUGACGGUAUGUGCAGAAGAAGGACCGGCCAACUACGUGCCAGCAGCCGCGGUAAUACGUAGGGUCCGAGCGUUGUCCGGAAUUAUUGGGCGUAAAGGGCUCGUAGGCGGUUUGUCGCGUCGGGAGUGAAAACCUACA